rnacentral:rRNA from 1 species
GCUGGCGGCAGGCCUAAUACAUGCAAGUCGAGCGCGCCCUUCGGGGUGAGCGGCGGACGGGUGAGUAACGCGUGGGAAUAUGCCCUUCUCUAAGGAAUAGCCUCUGGAAACGGAGAGUAAUACCUUAUACGCCCUUUGGGGGAAAGAUUUAUCGGAGAAGGAUUAGCCCGCGUUAGAUUAGGUAGUUGGUGGGGUAAUGGCCUACCAAGCCUACGAUCUAUAGCUGGUUUGAGAGGAUGAUCAGCCACACUGGGACUGAGACACGGCCCAGACUCCUACGGGAGGCAGCAGUAGGGAAUCUUAGACAAUGGGGGCAACCCUGAUCUAGCCAUGCCGCGUGUGUAAUGAAGGCCCUAGGGUCGUAAAGCACUUUCGCCAGAGAUGAUAAUGACAGUAUCUGGUAAAGAAACCCCGGCUAACUCCGUGCCAGCAGCCGCGGUAAUACGGAGGGGGUUAGCGUUGUUCGGAAUUACUGGGCGUAAAGCGCACGUAGGCGGAUUAGUAAGUUGGGGGUGAAAUCCCAGGGCUCAACCCUGGAACUGCCUCCAAAACUAUUGGUCUAGAGUUCGAGAGAGGUAAGUGGAAUUCCGAGUGUAGAGGUGAAAUUCGUAGAUAUUCGGAGGAACACCAGUGGCGAAGGCGGCUUACUGGCUCGAUACU